GGCAACCCUGACGCAGCAACGCCGCGUGUGUGAAGAAGGCCUUCGGGUCGUAAAGCACUGUCAGGAGGGAAGAAAACCGGCAAGUCCGGCGUGACGGUACCUCCUAAGGAAGCACCGGCCAACUCCGUGCCAGCAGCCGCGGUAAUACGGAGGAGGCAAGCGUUAUUCGGAAUUAUUGGGCGUAAAGCGUCCGCAGGGGGCUCAUCAAGUCUGCUGUCAAAGGUCGGAGCUCAACUCCGGUUCGGCAGUGGAAACUGGUGGGCUAGAGGGCGACAGGGGUAGAGGGAAUUCCCAGUGUAGCGGUGAAAUGCGUAGAGAUUGGGAAGAACACCGGUGGCGAAAGCGCUCUACUGGGUCGCACCUGACCCUCAGGGACGAAAGCUAAGGUAGCG
rnacentral:rRNA from 1 species